rnacentral:lncRNA from 1 species
CUAAUAUCUAAUACUAUUAAUUAUAAUUUUAUUCUUAUUUUACAUGAUUUCUUUUUGUGUAAAGAACUGAUAAGAAUUAUACUUGGUUUGAUGUACUGCUAAUUGUACUUUAUGUGAUGUAUUAAUCAGAAUUGUACUUUGUAUGAUGUACCUAUAAUGAUUGUACUGUAUUACGUACAGAUAAUAUAAAAAAGGGAGAUGGGUAUGAUUGCCGGUGAGACAACUCUCCACAAGAGACCAAAGAA